ensembl:lncRNA
UAUAUUAAUAUUAAUUUUUAAUAAUAUAUUAUUUUCUUGUAUUGAAAAUAAAAAAAAAUCUAAUAUAAUUUAGAUAAAAAUAUAUUACAUACAAUAUUAUUAAUUUUUUAAAAUUUAAAUAAUAAAAAAUCAUUAUUAAAAUUUUAUAGAUAACUAAAUAAAAAAGCAUGCAUCGCUAUCUUCGUAUAAUUCUUUUCAUCGUUGCUGUUGCAACAUCAUUAAAUAAGGUUUUAUCGAGUGACUUUACAUUAGAAAUUGCUAAACAACAUGAUCAAAUUUACAACUCAACCCACAAUUUAGAUCCACAGAACAUAGAACAUGCAGAAAAAGAAGUUAAAGUGGAAGAACAACAAACAGUUAAAUUUAAUGAACAGGACAAAAUCUUUGAAGAAAUUGUAGCGAAUGAAAAGAUAUAUGAUUUAUUAAAAUCAUAUAAUAAAUACUUUGAAAGCAUUAUAUCGAAACCUGUAUCAGAAACAGAUAUAACUGACAUUGACUUUAAAAAACCAAUUUCAGAAUUAAAAACUAGCAUACAACAAACAAAAGAAGAAACUAAAGUAAAAACACAAGAUGAAUUAACAGUAGAGGAACCUAUUGAAAAAAAACAUGUAGUAGUGGGACCUGCAGUAGAGGAACCUAUUGAAAAAAAACAUGUAGUAGUGGGACCUGCAGUAGAGGAACCUAUUAAAAAAAAACAUGAAAAAAAGCAUGAAAAAAAGAAAGAAAAGUCAAAAUUUGGAUUUUCAGAACAUUCAGUUAGCAAAUUCUUUGCAAAAAAUAAAGUAGACGAUUCCCAUAAGCAUUCUUUUAAACCGUCGGUCACAUCAGUGAAACAGAAAGGCUCUGCUCAAGUAUUUACUUCCUCAGGUAUGAUGGUAAAGGAAUGUGACCUAAGUAAUGUAGAUGUGACAGACAAGACUAAAUAUAUCGAAAGAUACGAGGAAUUCAUGAUGCCAAUAAUUUCAAAUGUAAAAGAAGAUAUAAAAAACGAAGAAGAAAGCAAAGUAAAACAAAUAAUAGAAAACAUGCCUUUACCAGAAGGAUAUAAACUGCAAAGAGCUAUAGAAAAACGAUUGACAGCAUACACAUUAUUAAAUAUUUUUGAAGGCCUAAGAUAUUUUGAAUAUGAUUCCAUCAACAAUACAGAAGUUAUGAAAAAAUACAAGGACAAAAUUCUUUAUGGUCCAGGUGGUGCUUCAACAGAAAUAACAGAAAAUAUGGAUUGGUAUGACGAAUUAAAAAGAGUAGGUGAUGUUUAUAAUUAUUUAUUAUAUUAUGAUUACAAUACGGGUAGAAUAUGUCUUAGAAAAAAAGACAUCGGGAAAUUAUUUGCAGAACAACUUAAUACACUAAGCAAACUGACAGUAAUUCCAAGCAAAGAACGAGGUCAACAAUUAGUUGAUACAGCUACUGAUUUUUUCUUUCAUGACGAUUUAAAUAAAGAUGCAUACGUAGAAUCAUUAUCAAAUAUAGAACAUAUUAUGAAAAUGUUUAAUAAAGUUAUUAUAGAUUAUAAAAAUCCAAACCAAUUAAAAUAUAAUACUACAACGGUAGAUUUAACACAUCCAUCAGAUUUUAUCAUACAAUAUAAUGAUAGUAUAUGUGAUAUGGAUGAAAAAGUUAUGCAGGAUGUAACACCAGCUGAUUCGAAAAUAAACAAAGAUUUACAACAAGACCAAACAGAACAGAAUGAAGCAGUACAACACAUCUAUGCACUUGAAAAAUUUUUAUUAUUAGAGCAUAAGAAAUUAGAAGAAGUAUUAUUAAAUUUAGAAACAAUUUAUACAUUUAAUGUUAUUAAUAUUGUUGAUGAUAAUUCACCAGAUCACGCAUUUAAUUUCAAUAAUAUCAAAUUAACAAGGGAUGCACUUGCAGAUGCUGAUGAUGAUGUUGAUGUUAAUGAAUUAGAAUCAAAUUCACAAAAUGAACAUUUAAUAUUUGUCUUAAAUAAAUUAGAAACUAAUGCACAAUACCUCCAAUCUAAUUUAAAUAACAUAGUACAUAAUAUUAUGUAUGAAUGUAGUGAUGAAUGGGAUACCAUUAUUAAUCAAAUAUUAAGCCAUGUGUUUGAUGAAGAUGUGGUGUAUUUAGAAAAUAAUAAUGACAAACAAGAAAAAAGCUUUUUACGAACUCAAAUAAAUGAUAAUAAUGAAUUAGUAAAUGAUGAAAUGAAAAUAACUGAAGAAAAUAAACAAAAAUAUGACGAAUAUAUCUUUAACCUUUUACAUAACUGGCUAUUUGUAAAAAGAAGUGCAUUUAUAAAAAUUGUGAUCGAUAUAUAUUUAACUUGGGAAAAUAUAAAAAAAAAACAAUAUAUUUUAUAUACUUGGAAUAAACAUGCAAAAACAACAAUGCCUUCAUAUAUACGUAAUUUGUCAAUACCAAAAUUGAUAGAUUUAAUCAAAGGUGAAAAAUGGAGUGAAAAAAAUACUACUACUUACAAUGAAAUAGAAACAGUAAUGAAAUGGUUUACACAAAAACAAAAUGCUUAUCUAAACUACAUAUAUAAUCUAUGGAAAUUAUGGGAAAAACAAAGGUAUAUUAUGUUUAUUUAUACAUACUAUAGUUUGGAUAUAUCGCCUAAUACAUUCAAAAAAGUUACAAAUAUUUUGGAUAAAUAAAAAGUAACUUUGUAAUUUGCAG